GGUACAUCGGUGACAGGUGGUGCAUGGUUGUCGUCAGCUCGUGUCGUGAGAUGUUGGGUUAAGUCCCGUAACGAGCGCAACCCCUAUUGUUAGUUGCCAUCAUUCAGUUGGGCACUCUAGCGAGACUGCCGGUAAUAAACCGGAGGAAGGUGGGGAUGACGUCAAAUCAUCAUGCCCCUUAUGACCUGGGCUACACACGUGCUACAAUGGUUGGUACAACGAGUUGCGAGUCGGUGACGGCGAGCUAAUCUCUUAAAGCCAAUCUCAGUUCGGAUUGUAGGCUGCAACUCGCCUACAUGAAGUCGGAGUCGCUAGUAAUCGCGGAUCAGCACGCCGCGGUGAAUACGUUCCCGGGCCUU
rnacentral:rRNA from 1 species